UUCUUAAUUGAUUUUUGCCACGUGCAGCCACUCAUAAUGAAACAGCCUUGGUGCAACAUAAAUCAUGAUUGUGGUUUUCUAAUUCAUAUUUAUCAGGACUUAUCUUGAAGCACCUGAUAGCUUUAUGCUAUUGCCUAUACGUGACCCUUUGGAACAAGCUUUAUGCUAUUGCCUUUGUACCCACUUAAAUGACCCUUUGGAACAGUUAAUUUUUUC
rnacentral:lncRNA from 1 species